GAUGAACGCUGGCGGUAUGCUUAACACAUGCAAGUCGAACGGUCACUUCGGUGAUAGUGGCGGACGGGUGAGUAACGCGUGAGAAUCUGUCUUCAGGUCGGGGACAACAGUUAGAAAUGACUGCUAAUACCGGAUGUGCCUUUGGGUGAAAGAUUUAUUGCCUGAAAUAGAGCUCGCGUCAGAUUAGCUAGUAGGUGGUGUAAGAGACUACCUAGGCUCCGAUCUGUAGCUGGUCUGAGAGGACGAUCAGCCACACUGGAACUGAGACACGGUCCAGACUCCUACGGGAGGCAGCAGUGGGGAAUUUUCCGCAAUGGGCGAAAGCCUGACGGAGCAAUACCGCGUGAGGGACGAAGGCUUUUGGGUCGUAAACCUCUUUUCUCAAGGAAGAUGAUGACGGUACUUGAGGAAUAAGCAUCGGCUAACCCUGUG
rnacentral:rRNA from 1 species